UAUAUUGUCGAAGACUUUAUUCCUCCAACUACCACGCCCUGCGUGUGUGUUCUGGAUUUACAUAAUGUGCUAGCCUACUUAAAUAUUCACACACAAAGUAUAAUAACAAUAGGUGCUAAUUAUCACGUGCUAAUUAUCACGUGUUACAUCCCCUUCUCUUAACUAUAUUAUUUGAAUUACAAAAUAACAAAACUUAACAA